GAACAUCGACAUCUUGAACGC
rnacentral:rRNA from 1 species